AUUGAACGCUGGCGGCAGGCCUAACACAUGCAAGUCGAGCGGAUGACGGGAGCUUGCUCCUUGAUUCAGCGGCGGACGGGUGAGUAAUGCCUAGGAAUCUGCAUGGUAGUGGGGGACAACGUUUCGAAAGGAACGCUAAUACCGCAUACGUCCUACGGGAGAAAGCAGGGGACCUUCGGGACUUGCGAUAUCAGAUGAGCCUAGGUCGGAUUAGCUAGUUGGUGAGGUAAUGGCUAACCAAGGCGACGUUCCGUAACUGGUCUGAGAGGAUGAUCAGUCACACUGGAACUGAGACACUGUCCAGACUCCUAUGGGAGGCAGCAGUGGGGAAUAUUGGACAAUGGGCGAAAGCCUGAUCCAGCCAUGCCGCGUGUGUGAAGAAGGUCUUCUGAUUGUAAAGCACUUUAAGUUGGUAGGAAGGGCAGUAAGUUAAUACCUUGCUGUUUUGACGUUACCGACAGAAUAAGCACCGGCUAACUCUGUGCCAGCAGCCGCCGUAACAC
rnacentral:rRNA from 1 species